rnacentral:lncRNA from 8 species
CAUUGGGGAACCAUAGGGCAGCUUCCGAGCACUUUUUGUGGACUCCAUAAAGCCUUCCACUGCCAGGGACCUGUUUAAAGUAACCUAUUCCAUACCUGAAUGCAACCGGCGGUGUUUGGAGAAUGACACCAUCUGCCACUGGUUCAACUGGCUGGCUGAGGUGCAAGAUGGAGAAUGUCCUCCUCUAACAGUGGCGCUGGUGUUGGAGGUUGCUACUGGGGCAACGGUGGUGCCACCCCUUGGGUUUGAGGACACCCCGACCAUCGAAUUCCUCCACACAGCGCGAGGGCGUCUCGCUGGGCAGCAGAAGAAAAAGUACCCAGAGGCAAACACGUGUGCUGUGACACUAAGGCUCCCUCUUCAUAGCACCUACAAUGCCUUUAGGGAAUUCAUGACCUCCGGUAUUGUGAAUUCCCCACAUUUCGGUGUUGCAUAAAAACAUUUUUACGAUACAUAAUUGUAUCCAGUAGCACUAAAUUACAGUAGCAGUUGAGUGUUUGAAAAUGUAACUGCACAUCAACAUUUAAGCAUUUAUCUAGUUACAUCUCUAUUGUUUGUACAUUUACAUUUUAGUCAUUUAGCAGACGCUCUUAUCCACAGCGACUUACAGUAGUGAAUGCAUACAUUUCUUUCCCUGUACUGGUCCCCCGUGGGAAUCGAACCCACAACCCUGGCGUUGCAAACACCAUGCUCUACCAACUGAGCCACACGGGACCAGUACAGUGCAUUCGGAACGUAUUCAGACCCCUUGACUUUUUCCACAUUUUAUUACCUUACAGCCUUCUUCAAAAAUGGAUACAAUCAUUUUUUCACCUCAUCAAUCUACACUCCCCAUAAUGACAAAGCAAAAACAGGUUGACAUUUUUGCAAAUGUAUAAAUAAAAGGAAACAUUACAUUUAUUACCUUUUACUCAGUACUUUACUGAAGCACCUUUGGCAGUGAUUACACCAUCGAGUCUUCUUGGGUAUGACGCUACAUUAUUUAUUUAAUACCUUUUAGAAUAAGGCUCUAAUGUAACAAAAUGUGGGAAAAGUCAAGGGGUCUGAAUACUUUCCAAAUGCACUGUAUUUCCAUAUUGGAAGUUAUUAACUUAAUGCUCAUUAAUAUUAAAUUAAACAGUCCAUAUUGGCUGUUAUUGUUUACUUAAUGACCAUUAAUAUUAAAUUAUACAGUCCAUAUUGGCUGUUAUUGUUAUCUUAUGAUCAUUAAUAUUAAAUUAAAUCCCUUACUGCUGUCAGAUUGGCCCUCUGCAUUGCCAGGGAACCCGAGACGAACAACUGCAGAGGUGACUGCCGUUGUUCAGUCCUCAGCCCAUGGUGGUUCCACUGACUGGCAAACACAGCAAGAUCUCUGUUCACCCGUGGCAGGAACACAAAGUGCAGUGUCCACAGGUGCACCUCAUUGUUGAUGUCGAUGAUCUGCUCCGUCCAAGAAGGUGAACAGGUCAUGGUAAACGUUGGAGACUCCAUGCCAGACGUCCCCCACAGCCACUCUAUCCUCUGGUUGUGAGUGCUCCUUCCUCUGAGGGCACUUCCCCUCUCACCACCCCUGAACUGCUCCAUGAAGGCACAGAUGCGGUUGUUUUCACCACCCGGUCACAUCUCACCCGGGAUGGUACUCCGUAGCUGGUGAUGGCUGCUUCGAAUGACUCCAUGACUGUGGCAGUCCUGUUGUUGUCAGAGGCCUUCAGAAACACAACAAGUCUGCUGUAACCAUCCACAGCACUAUGGAUAACAAUCAUCCACCUAAAAAACAAGAUGCAUUUGUUUUACAAAACCAUUUAUUUCUCUUAUAGUGACACCAUUCUGUUUUUAUUGAUAUCAGCUCUUCGAUCCUCUCAUCCAGCUGAGCAUCUCACAACAGUGAGUAGGACCUGAAAAGCUGAAAAUGACUAAAUACAAAAAUAACACAAAAAGAUACAUCAAUCAGGAAUGUGAUCAAAUCUAGAGUGGAUGUAGAGAGCUCCCGCUUGUGUUACAAUUGCUUUAUUCAAUUACGAUAACUUACCUCAUGCGCCGCUAGACCACAGAGUGCUACACAUUGAGAACAUCUGCCAUUUGUCUGAUGGUCAUAUGUAACGGUUGCCUUUAGAGAGAGCGGACCAAAACGCAGCGGAGUUAGUGUUCGUCAUAUUUAAUUGAGAAAACGGACACUAUACAAUACAAAACAAUAAACAGACAACCAAAACAGUCCUGUCACGUUAAACACAGUAACACGAACAGAAACAAUUACCCACAAAACCCCAACGGAAAAACAUGCACUUAUGUGUGACUCCCAAUCAACAGCAACGAACUUCAGCUGUGCCUGAUUUGGGAGCCACACACAGCCCAAAACAAAGAAAUACAAACACAUAGAAACAGAACAUAGAACGCCCACCCAAUGUAACACCCUGGCCUAACCAAAAUAAAGAACAAAAAACCCCUCUCUAUGGCCAGGGCGUUACAUCAUAUGACAAUCUAUGAGGAACUCAAGCUGCUCCUUGGUGAUGUGAUACCGCCUUCCCUCCAAAGGCGCUUGAUAGGAUACUGAAAUAAAAAAUACAAUAGAUAAUAACAAAAUACACUCCUAAAAACUUUAGGUUAAAAGACUAUAAGAUCACCAUAUAGAAUUUAAAAACAGCAUUAUAGGCCAACCAAAUGUUUUUUUCAUUGAUUGACUUGACACAGGAGACUUAACACAGGACAUGUAAAAGGAUACAAUCUCAGCCUUUGCCACACAUGCUGUACAAAAGAAAUGAUACAAUAUAAUAUAAUAUAAUAUAACAACUUGCCAUUUUCGUAAGGUUCCCGUUGUUGGAUGUCAUUUGCCUCUUGUAGGAACUCCUCUGCAACAGCAAUUAGAUUGCUGGCCAUCUCUUCAUCAAUCAAAUGACCGCUUGUCCACCGAAGGCUCCACAACAUGGUCUCUAGCCUGAAAAAUAGACCGCAGACCCGAUGGGUCCAGUGACAUUUUAUCUGUAUGUAGUUAACAACCCCUAAAGUGUUCUCUUGUCUAAACUGUGUCAACUCUGAGCCUCCGACCUAUGAAGACAACCGUGCAUUGACAGGCGAUGCAGUUUUAACUAACGUACUUUAGCUACAAACUAGCUAAAAAAAAGUAGCUUCAUUCAACAUCGCUAGCUAACGUUACUGUACAGCAGUAACUAGUUAACGUUUUAUAGAUGCCAUAAUUAACGUUAGAUUAUGAACAAUUCGCAUUAGCUAGCUAUCUGGAGUUGAGUAAAAUAUCAAUGGCAGGCAGAUCUAACGUUAGCUAGCUAACGCCGUUGGUAGUUAGGUAACGUUAGUGUUAUAUUAUGUAGUUCCUUUUUUAGCAGCCGUUACACCACUCACUCUCAACACCGACGUUAGAUAGCUAGCUAACAUUAAGUUAACGUUACCUGGCUAUUGAUGGUUGAAGUCCAUCUCUUCUGUCCGUGAGCAGCAGUCUGGUGCAAUCAGAGAUGGUACAUUUACAAUUUUAGAGACAUUGGGCUGCCCUUGUUAACUAGGUAGCUCAUUUUACCUCUGAACAACAGAAGUUUUUAUUCUAUUUAUUUAUUUAUAAAAAAACAUUUAUACAUUUUUAUUAUGUACACAACAAAUACAAAAAAACUGAAAUAUACAAACAAGUGUACAUGAACCUAACAGACAGGGGUAUUACAUAUCAAGAUUCAUUUUCAAUUUGUUAAAUACUUUUAUGGUGCGUAUUGCUUUUUUGGUUUUAAAUUUACUGAUAAUUUGAAAAUAAUAUUUCAAUUCUAUCUUAAAUAAUGUGAAAAGGGGUUUGUUCUCUGCCCACUUCAUUUUAUGGAUAAAGAAUCUUCCAUGAAAGAUAAACAAAUGAACAAUA